CAAGAAAAAAAUAUCUCACAAACAGGCUUUGAAAAUUUUGGCAAAAUGCAUGCUUCCAAAAUGUCGUAUGUGAACUUGAACAUUUUUGUAAAUAGCAGUGAAAUAAAAACUUUGACAUUUCUGGAUUAUCCCAUAACUUAAAUUAUUUUCACAGAAAUAAAGAAAUGUACAAUUAUUUUUUUCCCAAAGCCAUUCUACAACGAUUUUCAAGUUUUCAUACA
rnacentral:lncRNA from 1 species